GGAGCUUGCUCCACCGGAAAAAGAAGAGUGGCGAACGGGUGAGUAACACGUGGGUAACCUGCCCAUCAGAAGGGGAUAACACUUGGAAACAGGUGCUAAUACCGUAUAACAAUCGAAACCGCAUGGUUUUGAUUUGAAAGGCGCUUUCGGGUGUCGCUGAUGGAUGGACCCGCGGUGCAUUAGCUAGUUGGUGAGGUAACGGCUCACCAAGGCCACGAUGCAUAGCCGACCUGAGAGGGUGAUCGGCCACAUUGGGACUGAGACACGGCCCAAACUCCUACGGGAGGCAGCAGUAGGGAAUCUUCGGCAAUGGACGAAAGUCUGACCGAGCAACGCCGCGUGAGUGAAGAAGGUUUUCGGAUCGUAAAACUCUGUUGUUAGAGAAGAACAAGGAUGAGAGUAACUGUUCAUCCCUUGACGGUAUCUAACCAGAAAGCCACGGCUAACUACGUGCCAGCAGCCGCGGUAAUACGUAGGUGGCAAGCGUUGUCCGGAUUUAUUGGGCGUAAAGCGAGCGCAGGCGGUUUCUUAAGUCUGAUGUGAAAGCCCCCGGCUCAACCGGGGAGGGUCAUUGGAAACUGGGAGACUUGAGUGCAGAAGAGGAGAGUGGAAUUCCAUGUGUAGCGGUGAAAUGCGUAGAUAUAUGGAGGAACACCAGUGGCGAAGGCGGCUCUCUGGUCUGUAACUGACGCUGAGGCUCGAAAGCGUGGGGAGCAAACAGGAUUAGAUACCCUGGUAGUCCACGCCGUAAACGAUGAGUGCUAAGUGUUGGAGGGUUUCCGCCCUUCAGUGCUGCAGCUAACGCAUUAAGCACUCCGCCUGGGGAGUACGACCGCAAGGUUGAAACUCAAAGGAAUUGACGGGGGCCCGCACAAGCGGUGGAGCAUGUGGUUUAAUUCGAAGCAACGCGAAGAACCUUACCAGGUCUUGACAUCCUUUGACCACUCUAGAGAUAGAGCUUCCCCUUCGGGGGCAAAGUGACAGGUGGUGCAUGGUUGUCGUCAGCUCGUGUCGUGAGAUGUUGGGUUAAGUCCCGCAACGAGCGCAACCCUUAUUGUUAGUUGCCAUCAUUCAGUUGGGCACUCUAGCAAGACUGCCGGUGACAAACCGGAGGAAGGUGGGGAUGACGUCAAAUCAUCAUGCCCCUUAUGACCUGGGCUACACACGUGCUACAAUGGGAAGUACAACGAG
rnacentral:rRNA from 1 species